UCCUCUAUGUAUUUUCUAUGAUAUAUCUUGGUUUAUUGUCACAUAAGUAUGCGUAAAAUCUGCAAAUAACUAAUAUAAUAAGUUAUUGUGAUGAAUGAAAUUUGGAUUAUUUUAUCUUUUUAUUCAUAGAUGCGCAAGCUAGAUUUAAUGUCGCUAUCCAAGGCAUCGGAUUUCUCUGCGAAAUAAACGAUGCCGCUAAUGCAGUAAAUUGUCUUCGAUGUGCAAGACUACUGGAUGACCAGUCUGCGUGCGAGGCUGAAUCGAAUGGAAUUGAUCCUAUCUGUACAUUUGACACAACGGAGGGAUUGUGUAGAAGAGGCACCGGACCAUAAUCUGAGAAGAUUCAUUAUUUACCUGUUGAAAAGGAUUUAAGGCUAAAAAGUACAUGUUGUUCUUGUCAUUUAUUUAUAACAUGAAGCCAAAAUCUAAUAUGAAAAUAUUUGAAGGAA